UACGGAGGGGGCGAGCGUUGUCCGAAGUUACUGGGCGUAAAGCGCGUGUAGGCGGGUUGCCAAGUCCGCUGUGAAAGCCCGAGGCUCAACCUCGGAGGGUCGGUGGAUACUGGCAGUCUUGAAGGUGCUAGGGGGAGAUGGAAUUACCGGUGUAGCGGUGAAAUGCGUAGAGAUCGGUAGGAACACCAGUGGCGAAGGCGGUCUCCUGGGGCAUUCUUGACGCUGAGGAGCGAAAGCGUGGGGAGCGAACAGG
rnacentral:rRNA from 1 species